rnacentral:rRNA from 1 species
UUCCAGAAAUUGUUCCAAGUAUCGGCAACAGCUUUAUCAAUACCAUGAAAAAUAUCAACCACACCAGAAGCAGCAUCAGUGACGACAUUAGAAAUAUCCUUUGCAGUAGCGCCAAUAUGAGAAGAGCCAUACCGCUGAUUCUGCGUUUGCUGAUGAACUAAGUCAACCUCAGCACUAACCUUGCGAGUCAUUU